GCACGUCAAUAAGAUUGUAGGUAGCUUUAAGUUUCUUUAUGCAUUUGUGUAUUUUAAAGUGUAUUAAGUAGUAUGAGUUACUUUUAUAAUCAUAAAUAAUAUUAUUCUUAAAUGUGUGCCUGGAGUGGUAUUUUAGCUAAAAAUACAUGAAUUGAGCAUGAAGAAAAUUGCUUAUGGAGAAUUAUUGAUCUAAACUAGAAUAGCCUACUCAACUGGGAAGACACAGUGCUGAAAAUAUGAAGUGAAAAAAGACUGAAGUCAUUUUCCUUGUCAGCCCAGAGCCUCAGGCACCUCUGCAGCUGGACAGCCGAGUGGGGGAAGGGUUGCUGUGACAAGGAUGUGAAGUGAGGGCUUACAAAGGUGCUCAAGCACUGGCGUUAUCACUUCAUUUGUUCACCCAGCUUUUAGCAUGAGUUCUGGGGAUGUGAACUCAUACUUUAUGUGUGUGCAGCAAGCACUACAUCAACUGAGCCAUCCUCCAAGCACACAAAGAAGUGAAUUUCCUAAUGAUUUGCUUUCAAGCACAAUCUUUGGCCAGUAUGGCCAGUACAAAGAGUCCUUCAUUCUUGGAAAGGUGGAACUUGCAAAAGUAACAUCAGACAUUCAUAUCCUAAAGUGAAGAAAAUCGUAAUUUACUUCACUCCAAUUCUAAGGGUAACAGUGAUGCAGAAAGGAAUCUGGUACCAGUUGGUUAUUUUGUCAGCUUGAAUCAUCCGGUAAACAAGAAUGCCAGCUCUAGGUACUUAAUCCUGAUAUAUAUAUCAAGAUGGCAAAGAUGAGCAAACCAGUCCAGAGUUCCUUCAGAUGGACAAAGUACACUUGUGCAAAGGGUCUGACAGGAAGGGAAUGAAGCUUAUCCAGGAACGUAGGUUGCACAGAACCUUGGUCAAUGGUUCCAAAAAUAUCCAUUUGUAUGAGUCUUCGAAAAUGUUUGGAGGAAUGUGAGAAUGAAGUUUAGACCUUAACUUCUUGUCCACAGGAGGUAUCUGAAAUAUUUUUUAUUAUGAUCAAAGUAAAAGGAUAAUAUUGCUUGAAGCUUUUUUUGUUUAAUCUUUAAAACUAGCAAAACAAAGCUAUUGGAUUUUCCUCCUUCACAAUGGAAUCCCAGGCAUUUCUUUGUUGUGGGGUUUUAUUAUACUAGUUCAUACAGGCAUUCUUCUGAGCUUAACUUAAUACUCAGAACUCUGAUUUGUUAGCACACACUCUCCAACAAUAUAAAAAGCAUAACAUUUAUGCUAUCCUUUUAUUUCUUAAAACAACAGAAUAGGAGUCCAUCUGGGGAAUCAGGAAGGCUAACUACAGAUCUCUACUACACCCUCUUCUUCUUCAAAUCCAAUCACCCAGCCUUACUCCGUGCUGUAUAGCGGAUGACCUGCUGCAGGUUUCCUUCCCACAUCCCACCCCCAUCUCCAGUAGAUCACACGAAUCCUCCCCUCUAACCUUUCUCCCAACCUUACUCAUUGCUUUAUCCCAGUCCCUGAGUCCAGCAGGUUUUCCCUGGGAUCCCACAGGCCACUCCAGCCAGGGAGCACGUAGCCUAAAUGCGGAUCUACUCACCUUCCUCCUCUCUUCCAACAACUCAUUCCUAGCUUCCCCCUAAAUCUGUAGCAGAUUGCUACUUAUACUUCCCCAUCCUCUCUGCCUGCGUCUCCAGGGGACCACACAGAUCUUUCCUUCCAAUCUCAGGACUAAAAUUAGUAAAAUGGAAACAAAACAACAAUACUAAGAAUCAGUGAAAGCAAAAGUUAGUUCUUUAAGAAACUCAGUAAGAUUGACAAAGCUGUAACCGAAUUAAGAAAGAACGAGAGAGAUUCUAUUAGCUAACAAAAUUAGAGGUGAAAAUGGGGGAUAUAAUGAGAGACACCAAGGAAAUUCAGAGAAUCCUAAAGACACAUUUUAAAAAACCCAUUACCCAUCAAACUGGAAAGUCUAAAAGAAAUUGAUAUUUUUCUUGAUGCAUACCAUUUAGUAAAGUGA
rnacentral:sRNA from 1 species